rnacentral:rRNA from 1 species
CAAUAGCGUAUAUUUAAGUUGUUGCAGUUAAAAAGCUCGUAGUUGGAUUUCGGGUGGGACGCAGCGGUCUCGCAUUGCGUUUGUACUGCUGCAGCCCUCCUUCUUGCCGGGGGCGGCCUCUCGGACUUCACUGUCUGGGGGUCAGAAUCGGCGAUGUUACUUUGAGUAAAUUAGAGUGUUCAAAGCAAGCUUACGCUCUGAAUAUAAUAGCAUGAGAUAACACGACAGGACUCUGGCCUAUCGUGUUGGUCUAUAGGACCAGAGUAAUGAUUAAGAGGGACAGUCGGGGGCAUUCGUAUUCCGUUGUCAGAGGUGAAAUUCUUGGAUUUACGGAAGACGAACAUCUGCGAAAGCAUUUGCCAAGGAUGUUUUCAUUGA